UGUGUGAUUUCUCCCCUUUAUUCUUCAAAAUCAAGUUCCUCUGCUUCGAAUUCCAGAAUUACCUGUGGACAUCGAAAGGUUAUCAUUUAAAUUCUUAGGUUUACUUGUCAGAGGUCCCACUAUCUGACAUUAAUAAUUAACCUGAGGACUAAUUUAACCAAAUACUUCCAGCCGAGUUCACAAAAAGGAGGGCAGUUUCAAGAAAGUUUGUAUCAAUGAUUUAAUGCUACCACAGUCAUGGACACCUUAAGCCUAGUCUGUAUUUUUUUCUACUUGGGAGGAAGUUGGGGACAGAAGCAAAUGUAAGUGAAGGAUCCCAUUUUUCACUUGCAAUGUAUCUUGGGUUUUUUUGCUUUUUUAAUUUUAGUUGUAGUUUUACAAGAAAGCAACGUUCAACCAAUGCCACAUGAAAUUAACUUUUUACUUCUGAGAACUUCGAGUGAGUUUCCUCUUUUCUCUGUCCAGCAUUGCUACUCUCUUUUUUAUUUUUUAUUUUAAUAUAAAUCUGUUAUGAACUGUGUAUGACUUAUACUCUAAUACUCUGUGUUUUGUCCAGGUUGGGGGUCUAGUAUUUAUGUGUGUGUGUAUAAUUUCAAGAAGAGUAACUUCCUGAUUGGCAUUUUGAUUGAAAAUAGAUUCUUCAAAAGACAGAAGCAUGAUCCCUAUUUGUACUCUUAUAGGAGACCCCACUGAACAUUCCCCCAGCUGUAAUUGAUUAAGACCACUUUCCUCUGCCUCCUUGAAAUCCCACCCCUCGGAGGCUUUCUGGAAGCUAUCCUGUCUUUACCAUGGAUAACAAUUUUUAGAAACAAGGAAUAUGUUUUUAAGUUUACAAAACAUGAACUAUUUGAGUUGAUUUCUUCCAUGUGAAAAACAUUAAAAAUUAUGUUCUGUAAACAGAUUGACCCUACCAUUCCACUGUUUCAACAGGUAUAUUGUCUCAGCACCUAAAGAGUUCUGUGUUGGAGCCUCUGAAAAUGUAGUGAUUCACGUUUAUGGAGACACAGAAUCAUUUGCUGUGACCAUUGCUAUUAAAAGUUAUCCCAACAAAAGUUUUACAUAUUCUUUUGGCCAAGUUACUUCAUCUCUAGAAAACAAAUUUCGAAACUCUGCAAACUUAACUUCAAAGUUAGAGUUUAUUCACUGGAUCAAGACCUAAAACCAUCCCAAAGAGAAGUUACCUUAACUUUUAUAGUGAGUAUGCUGUUAGUUUAAGUCAAAUUUUAGCCUUGGCAGUUUCAUUAUAUGAAUAAAUGAGUUUUCAUUUUUAUAAAACUAAUCACACGUGGCAUUAAUUUAUUCAAUAUUAAAUAGCAGUAAACAUUUGUUUAGUAUCUACUAUGGUGCAAUAUGGUAGCUUUAUACUUCUCUUUUCCCAAUUGACAAUUUCUGGGUGUAUAUUAAAUAUUAAUUGAAAUAUAUUUUGAUGGCCC